rnacentral:ncRNA from 1 species
GCGCAGCGAGCGAUCGAGGCCCCGCCUCCGGACGAGCGCGACGUACCCGGUGAGGCGAAGACGGCGCAGU